ACGGAGGAUGCGAGCGUUAUCCGGAUUUAUUGGGUUUAAAGGGAGCGCAGACGGGUCGUUAAGUCAGCUGUGAAAGUUUGGGGCUCAACCUUAAAAUUGCAGUUGAUACUGGCGUCCUUGAGUGCGGUUGAGGUGUGCGGAAUUCGUGGUGUAGCGGUGAAAUGCUUAGAUAUCACGAAGAACUCCGAUUGCGAAGGCAGCACACUAAGCCGUAACUGACGUUCAUGCUCGAAAGUGUGGGUAUCAAACAGGAUUAGAUACCCUGGUAGUCCACACGGUAAACGAUGGAUACUCGCUGUUGGCGAUAUACGGUCAGCGGCUUAGCGAAAGCGUUAAGUAUCCCACCUGGGGAGUACGCCGGCAACGGU
rnacentral:rRNA from 1 species